rnacentral:rRNA from 1 species
AUUGAACGCUGGCGGCAUGCUUUACACAUGCAAGUCGAACGGUAACAGGGUGCUUGCACCGCUGACGAGUGGCGAACGGGUGAGUAAUGCGUCGGAACGUGCCGAGUAGUGGGGGAUAACGCAGCGAAAGUUGUGCUAAUACCGCAUACGUACUGAGGUAGAAAGUGGGGGACCUUCGGGCCUCACGCUAUUCGAGCGGCCGACGUCUGAUUAGCUAGUAGGUGAGGUAAAGGCUCACCUAGGCGACGAUCAGUAGCGGGUCUGAGAGGAUGAGCCGCCACACUGGGACUGAGAAACGGCCCAGACUCCUACGGGAGGCAGCAGUGGGGAAUUUUGGACAAUGGGCGAAAGCCUGAUCCAGCCAUGCCGCGUGUCUGAAGAAGGCCUUCGGGUUGUAAAGGACUUUUGUCAGGGAGGAAAUCCCUAGUGCUAAUACCGCUGGGGGAUGACAGUACCUGAAGAAUAAGCACCGGCUAACUACGUGCCAGCCGCCGCCGUAAUAC